GGAUCAUUACCGAGUUUACAACUCCCAAACCCCUGUGAACAUACCAUUUGUUGCCUCGGCGGUGCCUGCUUCGGCAGCCCGCCAGAGGACCCAAACCCUUGAUUUUAUACAGUAUCUUCUGAGUAAAUGAUUAAAUAAAUCAAAACUUUCAACAACGGAUCUCUUGGUUCUGGCAUCGAUGAAGAACGCAGCGAAAUGCGAUAAGUAAUGUGAAUUGCAGAAUUCAGUGAAUCAUCGAAUCUUUGAACGCACAUUGCGCCCGCCAGUAUUCUGGCGGGCAUGCCUGUUCGAGCGUCAUUUCAACCCUCAAGCCCCCGGGCUUGGUGUUGGAGAUCGGCGUGCCCUCCGGGGCGCGCCGGCUCCCAAAUAUAGUGGCGGUCUCGCUGUAGCUUCCUCUGCGUAGUAGCACACCUCGCACUGGAAAACAGCGUGGCCACGCCGUUAAACCCCCCACUUCUGAAAGGUUGACCUCGGAUCAGGUAGGAAUACCCGCUGA
rnacentral:rRNA from 1 species